GGAAGUGUUGUCAAAAGGCUUGACAGGCAGUUCAAAAGCUGUUGCUCUCAGGAGCUGAGAGUUCAAGUCUCUCCAUUUCCC
rfam:Lupinus angustifolius cultivar Tanjil chromosome LG04, whole genome shotgun sequence.